AAAAAAAUUAUUCCCGUCUCUCUAUCUCUGGUUCAACCGGUAGACGUUCGUCGGAAAAAUACCGCCGGCUUCAAAUUCGCUAGAUUAGCCCUAAAUUCUCGACGACCGUUCGUCAAUCACAGCCUCUCUCAGACAGAUAUCACGUUAUAGUGGCAAUGCAAGCAGAGAAGGAGGUGUUGUUGAACGCUCAAGGUUCUACUUCUAUCAGUGUUGUUCAGUUCCCUGGUAUGUUUAUUUAGAAGCUUUGUUUUUGUCUGAGUCGAUUUUCUUAUUUGGAAACUGCCCUGUUUUGUGGUUGUGUUUAUGGAGCCAAGAAGCCAAAAAGGCAAUGGGUGAGUUACAUUCUCUUUGUGUUGAACUUUGUAGAAUUUUGCCUAGAUUACUUCUCGUGUCCUAAGCAAAAACAAGGACCAGGUUGGUUAAUACAACUUUGGGGUUUUGUUUCCUUUGCACUAGUGUUUGCUUUCAGAAGAUUACUUCUUGUGAUUUGCAGGUUAGGCAUUACUAUUAUCGUCUAGUCAGGCGUAUGAACAAGCUUUUGGGUCCUGGACUGAGUCUUGAUGCCAAGAACCCAAAGGACACUAAUGCUGCAAUGGUAUGGUUGGUUCGUCCAGGAUGCAUCAGGCUCUUUAACUUCUCGUGUCCCAACUUCAGUUUCUUUUCCUUCACUCGAGGAUAACAUGAAUGUGGAUGAGGUGAACAUGGUCCGUACUGAAUCAGGACCCUUAUCUAAGCAUUCUACUGGAGACAGUAAUGAACCUCGUUUAGCGACUAAUGCAGUAUCAGUUGGAGAAUGGGUGUGUGGAUCCACCCGCCACUGAGGGUUCGCAUUGCCUUAUUCGAGAUGUCUCGUUUGACUCUGACUCUUUUGAUGCUGCAAUUCCUGCUCAUAUACUAAGACACCAGAACAAGCCGCCAAGUGCUCUGCUACAGGUUCCCUCUGGCUCUUCAUCUAUUUGGGAUGAUGAAGAUACACGCGAUGCCUUCUCCUUUCAAAAGAAUCGUCUUGCAGGUUCCUCCAAGUUGGCUAAUGUUGCUUAUCCAGGAGGUGGACUAAUUAUCAAUGAUUUGAAAUAUAGAGGGUUUAUUUGUUGUGGUGAUAGUUUAGGGAAGGAGAAUUAUAGAGGGUUAGACAUGGAUUUUUAUAUUAAGGUUAGACAUAAUAAAAGAAAAACCUAGAAGAAAUGCGGGUUUUUGCAGUCUGAACUUUUUAGAUUACACAUCCUACUUUUGCUUACGUGUCGAUCAUACGUGAAUUCUUACAA